rnacentral:rRNA from 1 species
GACAGAGGGUGCAAACGUUGUUCGGAAUUACUGGGCGUAAAGCGCGUGUAGGCUGCUUGGAAAGUCGGAUGUGAAAGCCCUGGGCUCAACCUAGGAAGUGCAUUCGAAACUUCCAAGCUGGAGGACUGGAGAGGAAAUCGGAAUUCUCGGUGUAGCAGUGAAAUGCGUAGAUAUCGAGAGGAACACCAGUGGCGAAGGCGGCAUCCUGGACCGGCAUUGACGCUGAGGCGCGAAAGCCAGGGGAGCAAACGGG